ACUGGGACUAAGGACUGGAACCAGGGCUGGGGCCAGGGCUGGGAUUAGGACUAGGGCUGGGAGUAGGGCCGGUACUGGGACUGGAGCUGCUGCUGCCCAGGCCUCCCCCAGGGCUGAGCCAAGGCGGGAAGGGGUCGGGAGGAUUCUGAUGGGAAAGGAGCCGAUUGGAAACAGUGGGAUAAACCGGAGGAAUUUACGUCAGUCAGAAAGAGGGAAUUUUGUAAUGGGAAAUGAGACUGUCCAUGUGAAAGGAAGGAAUCAGAUGGUAAAUACAGUGUGGGAGCACCAGCAUGGAAGAAAUUGGUUUGUAACACAUCAUAAACUGAUCAGGAGUCCAAAAUAUGAUGUUCUGGGGAAAAAAAGGUAUCUCUAAAGAGGAGGGCCCUGGCAAUGAAAAGGAAAAAAAUCCACAACCCCUCCUCCAAAGCUCCUGUAUGAUCAAAAGGGUAUGGAGAAUGCUGAAUGAACUAUUACCAUUACUACCUUAUGUGCAGAGGAUGCUACAUGCUGCCAACACGUCCUUACCUGGCUGUGCUGGGCAGACCCUGAGAGCAGCACCAGCUCAUAAGUGACCUGGAGCGUGGACUUGGAGUGAGUUUGAUUUGAGAACGAGGAUACAGCACCAGUGAUGGGGAGGUCAGAUACUCAUGAGAGAUUUGUAAUAAUGGCAUGCGUGUCUGUCCAGACUCAAGCUACCACAUGUCUAGAAGAACCUUUAGGCCUUCUUUAGGGAGGAAAGGGCCUGGCAUAAAAAUACUUUAGGUGUCUCAUCCAUUAAAGAUAACUUUCAGAACAUGGCCAGGCAAAAUACUUGCUCCUGAAUCUGCAUGUCAGCAGCUCUGGUGUCUGUGCUGUUGUGAGAGCUUCCUAGGAGAGAAUCAGAACUCAUAGGCAUGACUGAAUAAAAACCUAUGAUCCAAGAAAUCAUUUGGGAGCACUGCACCUGAAGGGUGUUGUUAUUUCCAUCACCUAUCCAGUAACAAGUCUUUAUGGAGUAGACGAGGUGUGGGCUUGCAUUGGAAACAGAGAAGGGAGAGACAAAAAAUUAAGAAAAAGCUAUGUGUCAGAAGCCUCAUCUGCUCACAGCAAUUAUGGGGCAAGAACCAGACCAAGCCAGACAGAGAAAGAGGAGAGCUCUUCUUCCAUUACGGCUUCAAGGAAGAGGAUUAAUAUUUGAUAAGAAAAAUCAAUUAGCUCACAAGUAACAUGGAGAUUCUGACCAUGAUCUAUGGAAACAAUCCUUGAAGACACCCUUUAAUGCAUAGCAUCCAUGAUGGUUUGGAGGUCCGGAGCUUGUCGGAAGCUGGUUAACUUGAGGUUUGCCUUAGGUUCUACCUUGUAAGAGUACCUAUGAGUUUAAUAUUGUCUCCUGGCUAUAAGGCCUCUUAUGUUUUGUCAAAUCCCAUUCAUCUUAAUUCUUAAUUUGAAUUUGUAGAUGCUCAUUCAUUCUGGUUUUUAUUUUAACUAUUACCUGGUUUCUUCACCUGUGCAUCCAUAAAUGUAUCAUCAUAACGUUUUGCCUGUAAAUCUAUUGCAAAACUGCAGUACUUCUGCUAUUUCUUAGAGCUAUCAGAAGUCCUGGUUUUAGUCCUCUCAUAAACCCUACAUAGAUAAUUGUAAUUUUAAUGUAAAUUUUACAGAAAGCUCACUGAAAGUAGUAUCAACUCCUCCUACUCUUGACCUUCUUGUGCCAGUUUUUUCUGAUUUAAUAGCUUCUAUCUGAAAAAAGGUAGUUUCUCUUGCUAUAUGCUCCCUCUUGUUUAUCUGAUUUUCUGUCACCAAGUUCUCAGUCUCAGGGACUCCUCAAGUAUUGUGAUCAGUCCUUUGAGUUUAACACAUAACUUAUUGAAGCAUGUGUCACUAUUUGCAUUCUGUUCCCAAGUGAUUGCCUUAUAUGAGAGAAAACAGCGAGACUGGGUUUGUUACAAGUUGUGUUAAAUCUUUUUGAAAAGAAAAGGUCUCUUCAGUCACUAACAGGGAGGUUACAGUUGUAGUAAGGACAGCGUUUUCAGGCAGGAGAGGGAUUUUAUUUUGUCAGCUGUUAUGCUUCAUUUUGCAAUCGUGUAUUUCCUCUGAAAAUAGAACGAGCAGGAGCAUUGUUAUGUAAUCAUUUAAUGUAUAUUGCAUAUGUAAUCAUUUAAUGUAUAUUACAUAAUGCAUUAUUAUGUAAUCAUUGUUUAAACCGAGCUGGAAAUUAAGCACCAUGCAACCACUCACUCAGUGUCCCCCUCCCUCC